AUGGCAGCCACCCUAAGAAAUUCCUGUUCUCACCUUCCUCAAGCCAUGGCUUUCUGCUCCUGGAUGUCAGCCCUGUUCUUUGAGCUGGGCACACCUGAACCUGCUGUACUUCAGAAGUUGUAUUUUCCCUGGAGGAGCAGUAGAAGCCCAGCCACCAUGCAUUCCCUGUGCUACAUCAUGCCAGAAGGAUACCAAAACUCAGUGACUGGAGCCAAACGAUUGUUCCAUGUGUCUGUGCAUCAGUGAUUUGGGGGGUUUGCAGCACUGGCUGAAACGCGCAGGCCAGCUGCCUGCCGGUGGCAGCAGGAAAACAGGCAGACAAAGCAGAUGGACCCAGCAGGGGUGGAGGAGCGCUGUCUUCAGCGGGCCAUAGGCAUCACUGAAGAGUAAACAGCUCUCCGAAGGGAGCCGGGAGCUAACCCCAAACCCAUCCUCUCCAAAGCACUCAAUCACAGCACAUUAACAAGAGCGCCUGGACUGCUGGGGGAGAGUAAACAAUGAGAGGCCAUGCUGGCGGGAGAGUGGGAAAAGCGCAGCCCCCCUCCAGCUCAUAUUUAUUGUAAGAGGGUGU
rnacentral:lncRNA from 1 species